rnacentral:rRNA from 1 species
CGGUGUUCAACUGGCGUGUCCGCGGGACGUCCUGCCGGUGGGCUUAGCCCGCAAGGGCGGCCCAACUUCAAAUCCCAUCGCGGUGCUCUUCACUGAGUGUCGAGGUGGGCCGGCACGUUUACUUUGAACAAAUUAGAGUACUUAAAGCAGGCUAAAACUUCGCCUGAAUACUGUGUGCAUGGAAUAAUGGAAUAGGACCUCGGUUCUAUUUUGUUGGUUUUCGGAACCCCGAGGUAAUGAUUAAUAGGAACGGAUGGGGGCAUUCGUAUUGCGACGUUAGAGGUGAAAUUCUUGGAUCGUCGCAAGACGGACAGAAGCGAAAGCAUUUGCCAAAAACGCUUUCAUUGAUCAAGAACGAAAGUUAGAGGUUCGAAGGCGAUCAGAUACCGCCCUAGUUCUAACCAUAAACGAUGCCAGCUAGCGAUCCGUCGACGUUCCUCCGAUGACUCGACGGGCAGCUUCCGGGAAACCAAAGCAUUUGGGUUCCGGGGGAAGUAUGGUUGCAAAGCUGAAACUUAAAGGAAUUGACGGAAGGGCACCACCAGGAGUGGAGCCUGCGGCUUAAUUUGACUCAACACGGGAAACCUCACCAGGCCCGGACACCGGAAGGAUUGACAGAUUGAGAGCUCUUUCUUGAUUCGGUGGGUGGUGGUGCAUGGCCGUUCUUAGUUGGUGGAGCGAUUUGUCUGGUUAAUUCCGAUAACGAACGAGACUCUAGCCUGCUAACUAGGCGUAUUUUCGACAUCUCAAAGGUCCGUCGUCCCGGCCCUCGGGUCGUGGGCGUGCGCGAUUUUUACUGUCGGCGUACUAUCAAUUCUUCUUAGAGGGACAGGUGGCUUCUAGCCGCACGAGAUUGAGCAAUAACAGGUCUGUGAUG